rnacentral:lncRNA from 1 species
CCGAAAAUACACUGGAUACUUUCUCAUGCAUGUAAGUUCCAAAACUUCAAUUUUAUUGAGGAGUAAGAUACGUGCUUGGGAUUUCGAUACUGACAGCACAAUUGAUAUUUCUUCAAUAUCGGUCUCCUCUUGUUGAAGUAUAUUAACCUCAUUAAAUAUUGUAAAUUUGGUAAGAUCUUUUGAUUUAUCUUCUUUGAUAUCACCAGUGUCUGCUAGAUCAUAGAUGUGGUUGUUGUGCUGGUAGUAUCAAAGAAGAUAAAUCAGAGGAUCUAACCAAAUUUACAAUAUUUAAAGAGGUUGAUAUACUCCAGCAAAUGGAGACCGACAUUGAAGCAAUACUAUUGUGCUGUCAGUAUUGAAAUCUCAGGAAAGUAUCUUGCUCCUCAACAUGGCUGGAGCACUAAUAAAGUGUACGAUAAAUGGUUUUCUAAUGAAUGCAAGGUUCGUGAGAGGACCAGUUAGUUAAUUGAGAAUCUACCAAAAGUUUCGUUAGUCUUAUUAAUUACAGAAUCUGCUUUGGAUCUUAUAGUCAUGAUAAGAUUCAAUCGGCUUCUUGUGGCCAUGGCCAUUAGUGGUUGUUUGGGGCUAAGGUGUCCAGAGCCAUCUUGCAGCACAAUUGUCUGCCAGGACAUGGGUUUUUGGGUUGCCCACUUAGGUGGAAAAGGAAAAAUAUCUUGGUUACGUUGUUCAAUUUUAUGUACAAAAAAGGAAUGAUAUUUUAAAGUGAUGUCCCAUUCCAGACUGCAAACGUGCAAUCGUUCUAGCAGUGGUACGGAGUAAUGGGAUUCAUGAUGUAUUAUGUGCAUGUUACCACAAAUUAUGACACUGUGAAUCAAUGGAUGUUGAAGAACGAGUGAGAUGGAGGUAACAUGAAGAGUUUUUACUGAAUAUUAUGCAAGCUGAUUUUUUAAGAGUAUAUGAAAAUGUCUCCACACUGUGUCGAUAAUGUCGUGAUUGUUGGAUCCUAAAUUUUGAGGAAUUUUUUUUAAUGAAAGAGUUUGUUGUACAGCUAAGCUAGCUUUUUUUUUUUCUGGCAUUUUCCCAGAAAAUACAAUAUGUUGGACCUUCUGUUCUCCAAUGAGUUGUAAAGAAAUCAAGUAAUUGUAUGUGUAGCUCUUUUUCUCAACCAAGGGGGUUUGGCCCUUGCCUCUUUUUGUCCACUGCUGUAAUAUAGUUGUCUAAUUGUAUUAUAUGUACAGAUAGCAAGUAGAAAGAAACACUGGGAAAUCAGUGAGUUAAAAAACUUGUCCGGACAUAAAAGUAUGAAGAUGGAGAUGUGUAGCUUGAUUUUCUUCCUUGUGUUAAUCUCCUUCUGAAUGGAGGGUAAAUGGAAUUUCGAACUUUUGGAAUUAAUGGAUUCCUCUUUGAUGAACUUCUAGUUUGGUUGUCUAUUUUUUGUAGACCGGAAUUUGAUUAUGUUAGUUGAAAUCAUUGUUUCUAGGAUAAGAGUGUCAAAGAAAUAGCGAGGAUGGAAUGUUAAUGACAAAAUCCCUCAAAAUCUAUUUGACGCGAUUUCAGAUAAUUAUUUAUGCGUUGUUUCAAAUAAUUUAAAUUGUUCUAUGUGUUGAAUAUUUUCUUUUUAGGUUUGUUGAUGAUUUAGCUUUAGGGAUUGUUUCAGAUAAUGAUCGAGAAAGAUAAUUUUGACUGAAAAAUAUUAAUUAUGUCGAGUUCUAAAAAAGUUAAUUCUUCGGAUUUAUUUAUUUUUUAAUUCAAAUUUCAAAAUUUGUUAUAUGAAAUAUAAAUAUUCUCAAACGAAUUAUUUAUUUAUUUUUUAUAAAUUUUUAAUACAUAAAUUAAAUUUUCGAACUUUAAAAUUUAAAUGUUAUUUUAUCUCUAUUUAAAAUUUAUUUAUCGGUAAAAUAAGAGUAGUAGAUGUCCAAACCAAGAACAAUUUUUUUUUAUUCAUUUGAAACUCAAAAUCUUUUAUUCUUCAAAAAAGUUGUAAUAUAUAAACUGAAUUGUCAAGGAAUUUAUGAUGAGUUUUGAUAUUUUUGAGAAAUGGUUUGUAUUAUAGGAGAUAAAUAAUAUUUUUAAUGAUUAUAUUUAAAAAUAAAAUUAUUUACUAAUUUUAUAUUUUUUAAGUUAGUAAAACAUUACCUCAUUAUAAAAUAAGUAAUAUAGUUAAAUUUUUAUUAUUUUUAUAAAAAAAUUUUGUAUUAUUAGAAUAAUAUUUUUUAAAAAAUAAUAUUAUUUAAAUGAUUAAAAUAAUUAAAAUUUUAUGUUAUCUAAUUUUUUUUAUUAUUUCAAAGUUUAUUAUUAAUUUAUAAUAUUAUUAACUAAAUGUAACAUCAUAUUUUAUAUUGAAAUAUUUUACAACAAGUUUUAUUAAUCACUUUAUUGUUCUUCACUUAAAGUAAUUUUUGUUAAAACUCAUUUUUAAAUUACAUUUUUCCCUACAUCGAAAGUAUAAGUAUGAGUACCCAAGUGUUCAUGUUUAUGUCAUUAACAUACAUAAUUAUUAUUGUCUUAUACCAACUUUUACUUCCUCUAUGUUGUUUUAGAAUUGGAAAAUUCAAUACUUUGUUGACUUAAUUUUAGUGUUUUGAUAUUUUCCGAGUAAAAGAUAUCAUAUGCUUAUUAGCUCUACUUUUAGAUAUUAUUAUUUUUCGUGUAGAAUGCUUAUAAGCAUUAUUGAACUUUUAUACGAAUGUAAUGCUUUAACAAGUUAAAUAAAAAUCAACAUUGUUUCGUGAUAUUUUUAGUUGGUGUAAAUUUUUCUAGUUAAAAAAAAAAAUAACUUCAUCUCAACUAGUUUCACUUUUAGUGUUUACCUAGUUGCAUAAAAAACUCAAUAAAUUUCUGAAGAAUCCGUGUUUAGAGAAUGAAGACAAUUGACUUUUGAUAUUAAGAAAAUAACUUGUUAACUCUUUAAUAGUCUUUUUCAUUUUUUUUUUUUGAGAGUUUAGAUUAGUGAAAUUAUCAUAUAUAUUUGAAGAAAAUCGAGAUAAAAACGAGAGUAACUUAAUAGGUUAAUAAAAAUUUAGUCUUAUGAUGGAAGUAACGAUUACUCUCUUAAACAGAUUUAUUAAUAGUUUUUGACAUCUCUUUCUCUUUGAGAUACAAUUUUUUAUUUUUUAUUUUUUAAUUUUUGAACAUCAUCGAUACGUCUAAUGUUUUAGCAUUUUAAACAUAUUUCAAAUUAGUUAUUGUUGGUUAAUCAACUGUUUUUAUCAAAAUAAAAACAUUCAAUAACUGUGAAUGGAUAUAAAUAAAUGAAGAUUUAUUUAUAUAAUAAUUCUUUAAUUAGUUACAAGAAAUUUUAUGAUUAUUACCGCAUAUAACCACUAUUUGAUGAUAUUUAACAACUGAUCUUUAUUUAAUAAUAAUCGAUCUUAUUAUAAUAAUCAAAAAAAUUCUUUAAGAGUUUGUGUGGUAAAUAUGCUCAUUUAUUCAAUGAUCAUUUUUUGUUAUAUUAUAAUAUAGUACAUUUAAGAAAUAAAUGGAUAUAGUCAUUUUAAAUUAUAUUAAAUUAUUAUUAUUUUUAAAAUAUCAAGUUAAAUUAAAUAUUAAAAUAAGCAGACAAAUUAGACAGAAAAUUAUUGGCCUCUCAAACAACUCCACUACUUGCAAAUGCAGAUUCUGAAUUUUCUCCACUGAAUGCAUUCUUCUUUCUCUUUGAUCUGCUUCAAUGAGGCCUUGUUGGGGAUGGUCCUUCUAUUAACUAUGUAGAUAUUCAAGUUGGAGAAGUUUACAGGAACCAAAUGAGUACAGAUGUUCUUAGUUUCAUUGCUUUUAAGUUGCUGACUGAACUCUAUAAUGUUACUGUAGUAGCUGUGGAUAAUUUGUUUCAUGAAGUAUAUGCUUUUUCUAUUUCUUCUACUUAUUGAUUGUUCCCUUUUUUCUCUAAUUACUUGAUUUCUCUAAUGCAUAUCUUACCUUUCCUUUUAAAAAAUACAAGUAACCUAAAACAUUCUUUAGUGUUGAAUGCAGCUUGUCGUCUACGAAGGCCAGUGAUUCAUGGACAUAUUCAAAUGCGAUCACUUUAAAACAUGAGCAAUGUAUAUCUGUCUAUUUGGCCAUCCAAGAAACAUAUACAGAUGAUUAUGGUCCUCCUCUGUAGAAUGCUGAAUGUAUGUAGCAGUUCUUUGGUUGUCACUUUUAGUUAUUAUAUCCUAAGCAAAGGAGUAUACGAUCUUUCAAAACUAAUUUAUCCAUAUUGUGGUUAUAUUUGGUUCUUCUAGGAGAAUAUAUGGUAAAUUCUUACCUUUGUCUUUUUUUUAUAUAUAAAAAGUGUGAAAAAGUACCGGUUUAAAAGUAUUAUAUCUCGAAACAUUUAGUAAGUUCACUACUCAAUUCUGACGUUUGUUUAUUUUAUGAAAAAUAAUAUUACAUUGUAGAUAUUUUUUUCUUAAAAAAAUGAUACUUUUUACUUAGUGUGUAUCGAUUAAAGCUUGUAGGUGUAAUAUUACUUUAAUGCAAUUAUUGUUAUAUGUUCUCAGUUGUUAAUAUUGGUUGUGACAAGUAGUUAAACAUUUAUUCUAGUUCAAAUUUAGGGUUAGGUUUAGUCGCAAUUUGCAUGACCAACGUACAUUGCGGGAAAACAUCCAUUGAUGGAAAAAUAGAUUAUCAUUUAUAAACGUUAUACCGUAACCAUGAUCAUGCACACUUUAUGUGACUCUAUCGCUGAUGCAAUCUGAAGUCUUUUAUUAUAAAUGUUCAUCAAAAUUCUUGCAUCCAUUUCUCUUUGAAAUCUCAAAGGAGCGUGUCUUAUACAUACAUGCUGAAAAGUAUGCAUGUAUGUUAAUAUGAUCUUUGGUCUAGUUUAUUUAUAUAAAAAAAUGAUUUUUCCCUAGUCAAGCUUCUAAAUAUUUCAACCCUUAAAACGAAAUUUCAUCUUACCAUUAUUGUUGGUAAAUGAUUGAGACCAGUCUUCGAUCAAUAAGUUUUUACCACAUAUAUUCAGGAAAAAUUUUAUGGUACUAUAAAUUUAAGAACUUGUCCUCUAUAUAUCGUGAAGUUUUUCAUGUUGGAGGUGUAAUCACUCUGUUGCUUUGGAAAUGUUUCAUGUAACUAAAUUUCUUUCUGAUGAAUGGUUUAUGAUGGUAAAUCAUUCCUAACUUCAUGCAAAUCUCUUUUUUCCUUGUCUUUUGACUUACGGAAUAAUAUAUUAUCAUGUUAGAUUUCUGCGUCGCAGUUUCUUUUUUCUAAAUCCAACAAUCAUUUGACAUGUGCAAAUUGAAUUUUAUUUUUACAUACAGGUGCCUCCACCUAUCUAUUUGGUCAAUGGUGAACCAAGAGAUACGUCCAUAGCCCAAUAGUACCGAAAAUGCACUGGAUACUUUUUCAUGCAUUUAAAUUCUAGAACUUCAAUUUUAUUGAGGAGUAAGAUACAUGGCUGAGAUUUUGAUACUAACAGCACAAUAGAUAUUUCUUUAAUAUCGGUUUCCUCUUGUUGAAGUAUAUCAACCUCAUUAAAUAUUGUAAAUUUGGUAAGAUCUUUUGAUUUAUCUUCUUUGAUAUCACCAGUAUCCGCUAGAUCAUAGAUGUGGCUGUUGUGUUGGUGAUAUCAAAGAAAAUAA